rnacentral:lncRNA from 1 species
GGCCGAGCAGCCGCCCCCGCCUCCUGAGAGCUCCCCCUCCAAGCCCGCGGCUGGCGGCGGGAGCCUCGGCUGCGACAAAGGAGGCCCCGAAAGGGCCGGACCCCCUGACGCGGAGGCGGAGAUGUAAAAGACAGAAGUAGCUCAGGGUCCUGGGGGAGUGGAGGACACCCGAGCCCAUCCAGGAACUAUGGAGAUGGGACUCCCCAUGACCACAUGACCAUCAGGGACCUUGGGUUACAUGACAGUCUCUCUCCACCUUUUGUCAAUUCCAGAAUACAAAAAUCUCAAAAGACAAGACAGCCAGUGCAACAACUGGUUCCUACUGGAAUACAAGCAGUUCCUAUACAAGACCCCUACUGGCCUGCUAAUCAGAUAGGAGAUUAAAAUGGAAGACAUUUUCAGGCAUGUAUUCUUG